rnacentral:rRNA from 1 species
GACGAACCGUGCGACCGUUGUUCGGAAUCACUGGGCUUAAAGGGCGCGUAGGCGGGUUUGCAAGUCUGCGGUGAAAGCCCCCAGCUUAACUGGGGAAGUGCCGUGGAUACUGCGGAUCUCGAGGAGGGUAGGGGCAUCUGGAACAUUGGGUGGAGCGGUGAAAUGCGUUGAUAUCCAAUGGAACUCCGGUGGCGAAGGCGAGGUGCUGGACCGGUACUGACGCUGAGGCGCGAAAGCUAGGGGAGCAAACGGG